UAGUCUCUUAAUACAUUAAAUUUGCUAAGUUCUUAUAACUGCUGUUGGGGGAAUAAAUGAUUAAGAGAAAAUUACAGUUUCGAUUUACGUUUUUUUUUUAAAGAAUGAUUAAAAUUGUUUUAAAUUAGGAUCAAUAUUUAGAUAUUUUGGUAUUCACUUGUUGAAAACUACAGUAAAGUUUUCAAUUUGUUGAAAAAUAAUCUGAAAACUGCCCCAUUGUGCUGCUACAUAUAAAUCUAAAAAUUACCAUUUAUGCCAGAACUUUAAUACUUUUACUUUUUUAUACAUCUAUUGUGAUUUAAAUAACUCAUAAAACUUUUAUGAACUUCUAAUAUCUCAUUAACUAUAACAGAAUCUCUCAUUAACUUUAAAAGAAUGAGCUCUUAUGGAAAAGUUGUAAGUUGAUUGGCCACCUAACCGUGUCGUCCGCUAUUAGUUCAAUUUUCAGUAAAUAACAAAGAUAGAAACUACGUUCGUGUGCACACGGGUGGUGUUUUGGAACGCAGCCCGCUCUCAAACAGUUAUAAUAAAUAUAAGACAUAUAUAUUUAUAAUAAAUAAUGUAUUCUUUGAGUAAAAAUAAAAAUAUGUACAAAAUAGUACAUAAAAAAAGAAAAACCAAAGGAUGGAUAAUAUCUAGCAUUAUAUGGAUCUCGAAAAAAUUGCAAAGAAUCUGAUGAAUGAUAUACCAAAAAUAUGUUUAAAACGAAUAGAUUUGGAUACUACUUCAAGUUCUAUCGAAAGUGAUAACAAAGCUGUUGAUGCUAAUUUGUCAAGAAAUGAAGUUCUAGAUGAACCUAUAGAAAAGAGCAAUCAGCAAGAUGUUCAAUCAGGUGUCUCCGAAACCAAUUUUUGUGAUACAUUUUUUGAAUUGCUGAAUGACAAAGCAAAUAAUAAUAUAGACAUUCAUGCUAAUUUGUCAAGAAAUGAGGAAGUUAUACAAUAGAUGAAUCUAUAGAAAAAAGCAAUCAGCAAGAUAUUGAUGUUAAUUUGUCAAGAAAUGAAGUUCUAGAUGAAUCUAUAGAAAAGAGCAAUCAGCAAGGUACGUGUUUUAAUUCAUUAUUAUAUAUACCAAAAGUAUAUUUAGAGCAAAUAGAUUUGACAAAUACCACUUCAGUUCUAACGCAAGUGGUAACAAAAAUAUUGAUGUUAAUUUGUCAAGAAAUGAAGUUCUAGAUGAAUCUAUAGAAAAGAGCAAUCAGCAAGUACGUGUUUUAAUUCAUUAUUAUAUAUACCAAAAGUAUAUUUAGAGCGAAUAGAU